rnacentral:rRNA from 1 species
UCUUGUGUACAUUCCUACAAAAUAACAUUAAUCCAUCAGAUCCCAUUAGAACUCCACAGAUAAGCGCACUUGGGAUAGAGUAGUAUUGGGAUGGGUAAUUUCCUAGGAAGUCCUAUUGUUUUACAUGCC